UACGGAGGGUGCAAGCGUUGUCCGGAAUUACUGGGCGUAAAGCGCACGCAGGCGGUCUGCUAAGUUUGGAGUGACAGUUGGUGGCUUAACUGCCAAAGUGCUUCGAAAACUGACAGACUUGAGGGCUUCAGAGGGACACGGAAUUCCGGGUGGAGUGGUGAAAUGCGUAGAGAUCCGGAGGAACACCAAAGGCGAAGGCAGUGUCCUGGGGAGUACCUGACGCUCAGGUGCGAAAGCCAGGGGAGCGAACGGG
rnacentral:rRNA from 1 species